rnacentral:rRNA from 1 species
AACGAACGCUGGCGGCAGGCCUCAUACAUGCAAGUCGAGCGAUUAAGACUCCUUCGGGAGUGUAUAAAGCGGCGAACGGGUGAGUAACAGGUGGAUGAUCUACCUUCCGGUGGGGGAUAACGGCUGGAAACGGCCGCUAAUACCGCAUUCGGUUAAUACGCUGCGGCGUAUUAAAGAAAGGCGCUUCAAAGCGCCGCCGGGAGAUGAGUCCGCCCCCCAUUAGCUAGUUGGUGAGAUAACAGCUCACCAAGGCAACGAUGGGUAGCCGAACUGAGAGGUUGAUCGGCCACACUGGAACUGAGACACGGUCCAGACACCUACGGGUGGCAGCAGUAGGGAAUAUUGGGCAAUGGGCGAAAGCCUGACCCAGCCAUGCCGCGUGAGUGAUGAAGGUCCUAGAGAUUGUAAAACUCUUUUCUGAGGAAAGAAUGAAUAGGGAAGGAAAUGUCCUUAUUUUGACGGUACCUCAGGAAUAAGGAACGGCUAACUCCGUGCCAGCAGCCGCGGUAAAACG